UGUCAGUGACAGACGCCUGUUGUUAGCAAGUUGUAUGGAAGAACAACAACCGCACCGCGGGAAACACGGAUCGACGUGACACAUGCAGAUUUGGAUUGGUUUCAGGAAACUGAACAGAAGUGGAGACAGUGGCAAUGUGACACACAACAAAACAAGCUUACAUGAGUGUACAACAUGGAGCCAAAGAGUGCUGAGGGAAACUUGAGCCAAAAUGGUCACCCUGUCUGCAGAAGAUGCAGAAAGAAAAUAUCUGUGAAAGGAAGCGACAUUUUGAAUAUCAUGCCACCCACUGCUUUAAAUUGAAUGCAAGAGUGGGCAUCCAGCAGGCAAACAAGGUAAUGCUACUGGUCUCUCAUCCUCAUCUACAGUGACACAAGACACUCGACCAAGCAUUGUCUAUGCACCCACAUCAAAAAAUGCUCAACACCUCGCUGCAGCCCUUUCAUAUUACAUCACGAAGGACAUGAUGCCAUUUCAAAUCGCUGAGAGGCUUGGCUGUCUGAGGCUGACGCAGGUUGCUGUGCCUCACUACAAAGUGCCAUCCCCAGCAUUCUUCUCCAAGACUGAACUCCUAAACCAGUUUAAACAACCAAGUUAACGCUGAUGUUGGAAAAAGGUUCGCUUAAGGCACAUGGUUUGCUGCAACUACUGACCUCAGGGUCAGUGAAAGCGGGGCUGGUCAACCCUACAGCAGCAGGGUUUUGAAAAUAUGCUGGAAGAGUGGGGGAUCGACAAGAAAAACCUGCACGAUAAAGGCUUUUGAUGAGUUCCCAGAACUGUGGCUUGUUUGCUGUGGCCAUUGUUUGAACUUGGCCAUCUCAAAAACACACAGCAGUCAAGGUCUGCCAUCAUCUGCCCCAAGGUUUCUCAUGGAGCUGGAAGAGAAAGAACUGAGAGUAAAACAAGCUGCCCUCAACAUGCCACGGAAGGCUAUGAUCCAUGAUUAUGCUUGAGCUUUUCCUCAGCCAACAGCACCCAGUCUGUGCGACACUGGCUGGAGAAAAAGAAACAUGGCAACUGAUGUCCAAGGAUAUCGACAUAAGUGUCAUGGAGCAACUGUGCCAGCUCACUGAACCUCUGAGCACGUUUACAGAUGGACUUGCCUCAGAGACACGAACGACAGUCACACAUCCAACCUUUGAUGUUCAGGUGGAAAAGGAUAAGGAACCACCCCUGACCAAGGGACCAAGGAGAUGAAAAGGGUAAUGAGAGAAGACCUUAAUAACAGAUGCACAGAAGGCAAAGAGAGUCAAGCAUAUGGCUUAUUUCAUUGACCUCUGCAUCAAAAGUAGCUUUUUAAAUGAUCCUGAAUUUGCAGCAGUUGACAGCUGUGUCUAGGAGCCCCUUGAUACUGGCAUCAGCACAAGGUGGGGAAGAACCACAGAAUCACCAGCUGCACCUCCAUCACCCCCACAGUGAUGCCAGCAUCAGAAGGGAAAAGCCUGGCCGGCUGUACCUGUCUCUGCCAUCCUUUUCAGCAGAAGUGGUGUCUUGGUGGGGCCAUGCAUCAGAGCUGCCUCACCUUGCCAGGGUUGCCAGGAAGCUGCAUCCUAGCAACCAGUGUACCAUCAGAGAGAUGGUUCAGUGCCAGCGGGCACAUUGUCUCCCCUCACAGAUCACUACUUCAGCUGGCCAAAGUAAACAUGGUGACAUUUCUAUUUCUGUUUACAUAAGGUAUUGGCAAUUUACAAAAAAGUACAUAGUGCUGCUAAAUGUAUUUUGUUCUCAGUAAGAACUUGUUGAAAUGAUUCCGGUGUGCGUCAGUACUUUUUGAACAUUUUCCACACAUUUUAAAGACACUGUGAUAAUACUAACUAACCAUGAUGAUUUUUCUCACUAUACUCUGAUAUGAAAUUUUCAUACCGUUUCAUCCCUAAAUAUCAUAAAAGAUCUGAUAUAUCCACAAUAUAAAGGGAAGGUACUGUAAAUUUUAUAUACAGUUUUUAUAUACUUUAAUGCAUCUUACAAAAACACAAAAUCUGUUGCAAUUUUUUUUUUUUUUUUUGCAGUGUGUCAUUAUGAAAGACUUAGAAAACUUCUCUAUACAUAUCAAAUCCACAGAGAGCAGACUGAAAUGUUUAUUUUCCUCUAGACCCUUCAAUUUUUUUAAACCACUUACCCUGCAGCAGCAGCCUUUCCCAGUAUGUACUGGGUGAAAAGCAGGGUGCACAGUGGAAGAGAUGGCAGUGUUUAUAGUCCACACAAUUCCUGUUUUGUAUAUGAAAUGACCAGAGAGUUCUACACUACUUACAUUCACUGAAAAGAACCUUUUUAGACAGGCUUUUAUUUUGAGGGUGACCUUUUAUGUUUUUAUCAUAUUUUAGCAAAAAAGCUUUUGAUAUCCUCCUCUUUGCUGUGUAAAUUUGUUCUUGCUGUAAGAUGGGAUCUGAACACGUCAUUUUGUCUUGCUAUAUUGAGCAUAAUGUACAAGUAUUUCCGUACUCCAUAUGCUGUGAGUGAAUCAACUGAUUAUAGGGAUUCCAUUGAAUUGUGUGAAACUUUGUGAUACAGUACACACUGUUGUAACCAAAAGCAGUAUCCUGAGGAAUUAUGGCGAUGCCACAUGAUUCCUCACAUCACCCUUUAUAUUCAGUAAAGCAGCAGUGUGCCCUGUACAGUGUGGUGGAUAGUUAAUGUUUGGAGGUUUAGAUGGUUGCUGGGCGAGUAUCAAGUCCGACUUUGAUGCAACGGACGGACUUAGUCUGGGGUUUUGCAGAAUUGUUGAAUAUUCAUGUUUUUUGCUAGCAUAUUUCAAACCAGGACUUUGUUGCUGUUGGGCAACCAUGCUAACCACUGAGCCUUUGUGCCGCAAUACAAAAGAGACACUGCACCAUAAGGCAUGAAUGCAGCUGCAUGUAAAACACACCCCAGUGUUUCUAGCUCCCUGUCU